UCGAACGAUGAAGCCCAGCUUGCUGGGUGGAUUAGUGGCGAACGGGUGAGUAACACGUGGGUGAUCUGCCCUGCACUCUGGGAUAAGCCUGGGAAACUGGGUCUAAUACCGGAUAUGACCUCGGGAUGCAUGUCCUGGGGUGGAAAGUUUUUCGGUGCAGGAUGAGCCCGCGGCCUAUCAGCUUGUUGGUGGGGUAAUGGCCUACCAAGGCGACGACGGGUAGCCGGCCUGAGAGGGCGACCGGCCACACUGGGACUGAGACACGGCCCAGACUCCUACGGGAGGCAGCAGUGGGGAAUAUUGCACAAUGGGCGCAAGCCUGAUGCAGCGACGCCGCGUGAGGGAUGACGGCCUUCGGGUUGUAAACCUCUUUCACCCAUGACGAAGCGCAAGUGACGGUAGUGGGAGAAGAAGCACCGGCCAACUACGUGCCAGCAGCCGCGGUAAUACGUAGGGUGCGAGCGUUGUCCGGAAUUACUGGGCGUAAAGAGCUCGUAGGCGGUUUGUCGCGUCGUCUGUGAAAUCCCGCAGCUCAACUGCGGGCUUGCAGGCGAUACGGGCAGACUCGAGUACUGCAG
rnacentral:rRNA from 1 species